AUGGCCGACGCGAUUCAAAGUGUCGUAUCUGUUUUUGUGAGCUUAAUAUCUUAUACGUGCUCUAUAUUUGGACCCAAGGUGUUAAACUUAUUUUUGCACGUUGAGGGAGUGCUUGAAGCCCGUUUCACCUCCGCUGCUGGUCGGCCCGGUGAUGCACUAUACCUCCUCGAUCGUCACACGAUUC